AUUUAUAAUUUUAUGAAUCUGUGGCAUUGCAUGCAGAUAGGAAUGCCCUUCCAAAGGCAGAAAUUAACACAGAAGUAAAGGAAAAUGGCUGGUGAAGAUUUUUAAAAAAAAGGAAAGAAAAAGGAAGGAGAAAAAGAUGAAGCAAUGAAACAGAAAAAUGAAAAGAGAAAAUGUGCAAAGGAAAAGGUGGAAAGAAAACAGGAAAUAGAAAAAUGAAGUGCAACCUUUGUUAUAUGCUAAGCUAGCCCCUUGCAUCAGUACUGGAAUGCGAAGUACGUGGAGGUUUAGUUCUCCAUUUAACUUUCUGUUUGAAUAGCCAUGCCACGCUGUCCUGUCUGCAAGAAACCUUCUUCAGUUACUAAAUUGUGGUUUUGUGAGUGCUCAUCUCUUCUCCUUUUGGAUAACAGGAAAGGAGCUGAGGGAUGCUAGUCACGCUUUUAGUCUACUGCUUUGAAAAUGUUCACCUCAUGCAAGCUAACUGCAUGAAAGGUGGCUACAAUGAAAACUGUUCACAUUUUAUGUGAUAAAGGCCAUAUCCAGUAACAUAGCCUACUGCGUCGUAUUUACUGACAAACCCAGCAUGACAAGAGAAACAUGGGACCUACUCUUCAUUUGCAUUGAUUCCAGCCAAGAGCUUCAGUUUUCAUGCCUUGCUUCAGAAUUAUUGGGUGAAGAAGAGUGCUUACCAGAUUCCCUUCUGGUUUGGAGAAAGAGUUUCUCUUGUGGAUGUCAUCUCUAUCAUCCCUUAGUGAAAAAAUUUUCAAGAGAAUCCUAAGGUGAAGAGAGCCUUGGAAGUCAUCUGGCCCAAUUUCCUCAUACAAUUCAAAGCUUCUUUGUAAGGUAGGGUGCCAUUUACUUUUAUAAGGCCAACUUUGGGGAGUUUACUACUUUGUAAAGCCACUUAUCGAAUAUUUACAGCUACAAUUCUGAAGAAAUACUUGAUACAACUCUUUGAAUGACCAGUUUUGCCCAGUAAAGCCUUAAAAUUAUUUUUUAGUUACCUCAUGUAUUAAAUUGUUCCUUUGUUUGUUCACUCAAAAAUAUUAAUUAAGCCAGGCUUCCUUAUUUAGCUUUGAAAUUGCAGUCCUCGAUGGUUGUGAAUGCAUGCUUGUUUCUACAAACCCCAUUGCUUCUAGUUCAUAUGAAAUUUGCAGGUAAUUAAAACUCUUUAUUCUCUAAGAACUGUUGCAUAGUCAGAUCUGUACUAUUUAACCUGCAGUUAAACUUUUCCCUUAAAGUGAAGCAUUGAAUUGUUCAGUUUUGAC
rnacentral:lncRNA from 1 species